CAGCUCUCUUGAGAGAUUUUUUGAGAAGGAAGAGAGGCGAUAACGUGGCGCAUUCUGAUUGAUCGAGUUUUAGAAGAAAAAAAAGAGAGAAAAAAACUUGUGAAAAAAGUCCAAACAGUUCUUCUUUCUCCGACUCAUUCUCUCUCUCUUUGCCACAACAGGCGAUGGCGAUGGAGAUCGAUUUUCUCCGACGACGAUUGAGGUUGAGAUCAGAUAAUUUAAUUGGAAGAUUUUAAGUUAUGGAUAACAGAGGUCAGAAACGAUGGAGGUUGUGGAAGAGUUACAUGAUGAUAAGAGAGCUUGUAACUCUCAGGAUUUCAGGCUAAAGACUUUUGAUUAUUGAGUACUUGGACGUUUGCUGAGCAGUGUUUGCAAACACUUGAGAAAAUAUCCUGACAUGAGCCGGUAGCCUGCUUGAAUGCUGGAGCAAUUAUGGCAGUGCUUUCGUUUAUUGAUUUCUUCUCAACAAGCAUACAAGUUACUCAUCCCAAAUAAAUAGCCUUGCUAAGACAGAUGGUUUUAACAUCGCAUUUGCUUCAGAGAGUCGCAAUUUCUACUGUGGUCAAUAUAUGUAAGCAGCUUUUUUCUGAGUCUCUCUCGCCUUUCAUGGAUGUUGUUCCAAUAUUAUGCACUCUUCUUCAAUAUGAGGAUAGUUAGCUGGUUGAGAAUGUGGCUAUUUGCUUGACAAAAAUAGCAGACCAAGUUAGUGAGUGACCGGCAAUGUUGGAUCAAUUAAGGAGAAUAGUAGUGUUUUGAACUUGGAGAUAUUGAAUGAUUUGAUUGCCUUGUUUGGGAAACUUGGUUAAUCCAAUAAUUUUUCUAAAAACCGCAUUAGAGAGAACCUAGCAUUGGACUGGAAAAAAAACUUACAAGCUUUCAUUUCACAAUUUUACAAAAUUUAUAUUAAACAAUUGGUGAG